UAAGAUCUCCAUACCCCGUCCGGUAUGGGAGACCACAAUCCCGGUAGGGUUCCCAACGGACCCGGUCCGUCCACCAUCUCCCAGGAUAUCUAGUCAGGCUGACCACAGUAUACAAUUUCCAUUUACAUAAUCUUUCAUUCUCCUUUUCCCUCAGUCAGCAUUAUCAAUCACAUACAAACAAGCAAAACGAUAAUUUAUGCCAAACAGACAACAUACAGCAUCAAUAUCCCGGUCAUUCAAUCCAUGAUCAAUAAAACAGUAGAAUAUGCACACGAAACUAUAAAAUGAAAACAUCAAAUCUCAUACUGCAUUUAAAACUGUAAACAGGCCAAAUAACAGUUAACCGACAAACACACUAGACUCGGACUCCAUUAGCGACCUUAAGCAAUUUCACACAUUCGUUGAUUCAUGAAAUACCGUUUUAUCAUUUAUUGAACUUUAAAACCGUGAUAAGAAAUAGGGUGAGGGGUCCUUACUCGUUUCGGGGUCCGAACACGGCUUGCGGCGGCGGUUUGCCUCGGGUUGGCCGUUUUCGGCCGAAUUCGGCCACACUCGCAUUGGUUCCUGCGAUAAAACAACCUUACGGCCCUCGGGGGGCCGAAAAUUUACGGAAAACCGAAGCUUACCGGCGGCGGUGCUCUCGGGUGCGGCGGCUCUCCGGUGAAGUUCGUGUUUUGGUGAUUCGGCUCCGAUCAACCUGUAGAGAAAAGAAUGGUGAUCACGGUGAUAUAAAAAUUGCAUUAAACGGAGGCCGGGAAGGGCCUCAUCGGAGGCAAAAACCGAGAAGGGGCGCGGCGGCGCCGCUGGCUUUCGGCCGUGUUUUCCGGCCGUUUGGCCGGGAUUUUGGCUCCGAUUUGGCCACUGGGGAAAUCAGCGUGGAAAAACGAGUUGAGGGUAUGAAAUUUACCUCGAUCGGCGGUCGGAAAUCCCUCGGGUGCGGCGGCGGGUGGCGGCGGUCGGCUUCUGGUUCGUCUUCUCCGGCGAGGGCAGGCGGCUAGGGUUUGGGGUCUGGUGUGGGGGUCUUAUUUAUACCCUUUUGCCUUUUGAUCUCAGCCGUCCAUUUUGAUUUAAUCUGGGCCGUCCGUUUUUGAUUUAAUCUGGGCCGUCCGUGCGCGCGAUUGAUCUGGACCGUCCGAUCGCGCGCACGCGGAUCGCCAACGUGGCCCGUCCCCGGUCGACGUGGUUUUGCCACGUGGCAGGUCCUGGUUGGCCAGGCCUACUGACUGGGUCUGCUGACGUGGCUGCUGACGUGGCACGCGCGUUUUUUUUUUUUUUUUUCCUUCAAUUUCUUCAAUUUCCCCGGGCGCUACAACUCUCCCCCCCUAAAAGAAAUUUGGUCCCCAAAUUUGCCUCAUUACUCUUGAUCGAACAAAUGGGGAUAUUGGGCCCUAAAUUCUGAUUCCAGUUCCCAGGUGGCCUCCCUGAGCAUGUGGUUCUGCCGCACGACUUUUACAAAUGAUAUUUCCCGGUUGCGGAGUAUUCUGCUCUCUCGGUCCGUGAUACCGACCGGUACUUCUUCAUAAGACAAGUCCUCUCGGAGUGGAAGCGGUUCAUGAGCCAAGACAUGAGAAGGGUCCGGAUUGUACUUACGUAGCAU
rnacentral:lncRNA from 1 species